rnacentral:rRNA from 1 species
GACGAACGCUGGCGGCGUGCUUAACACAUGCAAGUCGAACGCUGAAGCUUGGAGCUUGCUCCGGGUGGAUGAGUGGCGAACGGGUGAGUAACACGUGAGUAACCUGCCCUUAACUCUGGGAUAAGCGCUGGAAACGGUGUCUAAUACUGGAUAUGAGCAUUCUUCGCAUGGGGGAUGUUGGAAAGAUUUAUCGGUUUUGGAUGGACUCGCGGCCUAUCAGCUUGUUGGUGAGGUAAUGGCUCACCAAGGCGACGACGGGUAGCCGGCCUGAGAGGGUGACCGGCCACACUGGGACUGAGACACGGCCCAG